GGCGGCUGAGCCUCCGCCACACUCCCAAGUUUUGCCGACAGGCAGGACCCCACCAGCGUCGACCAGAUUCUUCGCGGCAUCCAGACUCCUACGGGAGCCGAACUUCGCCCCUGACUUUCAUUGCAGGUGGACUUCAUCCGGACUCCUACGGGAGCCGGACUUCGCCCAAACUCCUACGGAAGCCAGACCUCGUCUCCGACUCCAGCUACGGGA
rnacentral:lncRNA from 1 species